rnacentral:rRNA from 1 species
UACACGAUUGGCGAACGGGUGAGUAACACGUGAGCAACCUGCCCUUGACUCUGGAAUAACAGCUGGAAACAGCUGCUAAUACCGGAUAUGACCUCUUACGACAUCGUACGGAGGUGGAAAGCUCCGGCGGUCAAGGAUGGGCUCG